GCUCAGGUGGUGAAAUUGGUAGACACGCAGGCUUGAGGGGCCUGUGGGCGUAAUGCCUGUGGAAGUUCGAGUCUUCUCCUGAGCA
rnacentral:tRNA from 1 species